GACGGGGGGUCCAAGCGUUGUUCGGAAUUAUUGGGCGUAAAGAGCUUGUAGGCGGUUUGUCGCGUCUGCUGUGAAAUUUCGGGGCUCAACCCCGAACUUGCAGUGGGUACGGGCAGACUAGAGUGUGGUAGGGGAGACUGGAAUUCCUGGUGUAGCGGUGAAAUGCGCAGAUAUCAGGAGGAACACCGAUGGCGAAGGCAGGUCUCUGGGCCACUACUGACGCUGAGAAGCGAAAGCAUGGGGAGCGAACAGG
rnacentral:rRNA from 1 species